UGCAAAAAAAUCAACAGGCAACUGUUGUAAAGAGGGAGGAAGCAAGAACUGCUGAAAUAUAACGUUGUUUUUUCUUCUAUUUAUUUUGCCUUCCUACUGAUAGGGUUGAGCUCAAGCCAGCCUCUGAUGGAUCCAACCGGGUCAAGCUCACGCCACAGAUUUUUUAACCCUCUGUACAACAGUUGCCUGUUGAUUUUUUUGCA
rnacentral:misc_RNA from 1 species